rnacentral:rRNA from 1 species
UUUAUAAAGAGUUUGAUCCUGGCUCAGGACGAACGCUGGCGGCGCGCCUAACACAUGCAAGUCGAACGAGCGAGAGAGAGCUUGCUUUCUCGAGCGAGUGGCGAACGGGUGAGUAACGCGUGAGGAACCUGCCUCAAAGAGGGGGACAACAGUUGGAAACGACUGCUAAUACCGCAUAAGCCCACGACCCGGCAUCGGGUUGAGGGAAAAGGAGCAAUCCGCUUUGAGAUGGCCUCGCGUCCGAUUAGCUAGUUGGUGAGGUAACGGCCCACCAAGGCGACGAUCGGUAGCCGGACUGAGAGGUUGAACGGCCACAUUGGGACUGAGACACGGCCC